CCGCCCCCAAGUCAACACGGACUUCCCUCCCUGCGCGCCAGAACUUUGCGUUGUUCUUAGUGGCAUCUGGGGUCGAGGAGGGCGACUGUCAGCCAGUUGGGGGAUGUUUUCUUCUUGGUCUCUCGGCUUCUGCUUCCCUGUGAGCUGGGCAGCCUCAGCCCAGGUCCUAUCCGGUACUCAGCUGGCCUCGGUGUGCACAGCGCAGGCUUGAGUGCAGCCGUGGGGGCGGGCGGGGCAGAAGCAGGGCCCCUGGGAACAGCUGAGUCUGAAGGGUCAGAAGCCACGGCCCCUGUGGGGGGCUCUGGGGCAGCCAGGGGAGCUGCUCGUUAGUCGUCUCUGGGGCAGAAGGAAGGGACCUUCACCUGGGUUGGGACUGGGCCUGGGUCCCCAGUCUCACAGGGAGCUCGUCCUGAUUGUACCUGCCCGGCUGUGACGGCUGAGCCCGGGCUCCUGGAGGCAAGGCCACCUCAGGCCUCCAGGGCCGGAGCCGCAAGGAGCUGCUGGGUUUCCACAGGGCCACGGGGGCUGCGGCCACACGGAGCGGGAGCACAGGUGGGAAGGGUGUCUGUGAAAAAUGAAAUCUGUUGCCGCUUCCUCUAGCUUAAUUACUGGCAUGGUGGUUGCAGAGUUGAAAUGCAGCUUUAAAAGCCUUUGUGAGUAAUUAGUGUCAAACACACAAGAUCUACAAAGCCAUAAACUCACAGCUUGGUGAUAUUACCAAGUACUAAUUAAGAAAGAAAAAAGAAAAUUCCCUUUCAUGAUCAAAUUUUGAGCCCUGCCAAAGAUGAAAAACAAGGCAAUUUGCAGCCGAUGGCGACGCCGGAGGGUAAGUGGCGUCCACAGGAAGAUGGCGGCCGAGCGCGGCGAGCAGGCAGGGUCUGGUUGAGGGCUGGGGUGGUGACGGCGUGAUUGUGCCUGGCUACCGGGUUCUCAGCCAGGCAGCACCUGAUUCCCAGGAGAGAUGGAAUCCCAGCUCAGAAAGGGGAGACUCAUGCGAGGGCAGAGGCAAGGCACCCGCCCAGAAGGAUUGGGGGUCUCCCCAUUUCACAGGUGGGGACACUGAAGCUGAGCUCACAGCCAGGAGAGGGACAGCAGAGUGACGGCCGAGACCAUCUGCACUGCGAGGGAAGCAGCGCCCACCUUCCUUGGUGGUCCGGGAAGGCCGGACCGGCCCCUUGGGUCCCCACUGGCCUCAGCCACUGUGGGCUCGUCCAGCUUCAGGCCACCAGGCCCUCGGGUUCCAAGAUGCAGCUACUGGAGACAGAGUUCUCGCACACCGUGGGCGAGCUCAUCGAGGUGCACCUGCGGCGCCAGGACAGCAUCCCUGCCUUCCUCAGCUCGCUCACCCUCGAGCUCUUCAGCCUCCAGACCGUGGCGUAGCCUGCGCCUCGGGGGCAUAGCCAGAGCCACUCUACUUGGCCUGACCUGCAGGUCCCUUGCCCCGCCAGCCACAGGCUGGGUGCACGUCCUGCCUCUCCAGCUCCACAGGGCAGCGGCAUGACUGACAGACACGCUGGGACCUACGUCGGGCUUCCUGCUGGGGCGGCCAGCACCCUCCCCACGUGCAGACCCCAUGCGUCCCGGAGCCUGGUGUGUGGGCGUCGGCCACCAGCCCGGGCUCCUCACCUUGUGAAAUAAAAUCUUCUCCCCUAGACACUCCCACUCGCCCUGUGUAUCUGUGGCCUAGCCCUAGCAGGGUAGGCGGGAGGAGGGGAAGGAGCUCCCUCAGCAGCCGCCGCCAUCUGCAGACCGGACAACGUUAGGGUGAGUCAGGCAUUUCCGCUCAGGGAGUGCACAGGUGGCAGCUGGGACCAAGGGUGGCUGGGGUGCCCCCCCACCACCAUGGGCUGAGGCCCCUCCGCGUAGCAGCUUCCAGCUCUGCCUCAAGGCCGGGCCCCAGCUCUGGGGCUUCCCUUUGCUGAUGGAACCCGGAUGGAGGCACAGGGGCUGGGGGGACUGUCCUCACAGAUAAGGGUGCAUCGAGGAGAGACUGCCCUCUGUGCCCAUCUCUCCAGGGCCAUAGAAAUACAUUCCAUAGACCUAAGCAGUAUUUGAAUUUUUAUAACAAUAGCAUAUGUGUUUCUUAUGUGAUUUACUAGAAACAAUUUAAUUUCUCGAGUUGUAAAAAGGUGUAUUUUAAACCUGUGUAAAGGUACCUGGAGAUCAUUGUCAUUCAGAAUAACAAAAUAAAACAGCAAUAUAAAAACACAGAUAUUAUCAUAGUACAAUGUUAAAUACUAUAAUAUUCAAGAUGAUAUUAAAAUUACAUAUAUCUACAUCUAUAUGCAUAUAAGGAUGUCAAUAAAUGAUAUUAAUGUC
rnacentral:lncRNA from 1 species